rnacentral:tRNA from 1 species
GGGCCCAUAGCUCAGCGGUAGAGCAGGAGACUCAUAAUCUCUUGGUCGUAGGUUCGAAUCCUGCUGGGCCCA